UCCGAGGAACUGAGGGGUCCGACCCCGCCGCCCUGCGCUGCCGCGCUCCUCCGCUCCAGCAGGGGGCGAGAGCGGCCCGCGCCGCCCCGCCGGGGGCCGCUCUGUCACCGCACGGCGCCUCGGCCAUGGCGGCGGGCGCCCGGCGGACCGUGUACCCGCUGUUCCAGCUGGGCGGCCCGCAGCUGCGGAUCUUCCGGCCCAACUUCUUCAUGCUGGCGGUGCGGCCCGGCGUGCCGCAGCCCGAGGACACCGUCCAGUUCCGCGUCUCCAUGGAGAUGACGAAACUGGAUAUCAAGAAUUACCUUGAAAAAAUAUACAAUGUGCCGGUAGCUGCUGUGAGGACGAGGAUACAGCAUGGUGCAAACAACAAGAGGAAUCACAGGAAUCAGCGAGUGAAGAAGCCGGAUUACAAGGUUGCCUAUGUACAGCUGGGGCAAGGACAAACCUUUCAGUUUCCCAACCUAUUUCCAGAGAAAGAACAAGACACAGAAACUCGCUCUUUUGAUGACUUCAGGAAUAAAUAUAUGGAAAGAGAGAAGCAGAGGCAGAAAGGUGACCUCAGACGAGGUGGAGUCCCCGACUGGUUUGGACUUUGAUGCAACAAGCCAGCUGCCUUUCUUUAGCCUCAGAGGGAUUUUGAUCAGCAGAACUUGCACUCUUCCCUUCUAGUAAUGACUGAAUGUUUAUUCUCGAGCAGCCCUUGCUAGCAUGUUUUUUUUUCCUGGCUCUUUGUGCACGACUACAACAAAAUGGCCCUAAAGAAAUAAAAAGGUUAACUCCAGCUUCUUCACCAUGGUGAAGAUGAAAUGAAAAAGAUACAUCUUUCGAACUUGUUGGUCAGCCUUGAGCAAGCAAACAGUCAGGUAUGUGAUAGUUGUGGAUAAGCGAGGCCAUAUUCCAUGUGUUAGGUGUAACAGCAAGAGAUACAUUAACCAUCAGCUUCUCUCCCUUCCCUGUUAUGGCCCUUGGGAGAGGUUGGAGUCACCAGCUUCUGUCUGGCAUUGAGGACCCAAGCUGAGAGGAGUUUAUCUGCGGUCCCAAAUACGCUGUAGGCUGAGUACCUUAGUUCUGUUUCAGCCUUGAAAUAUUGCUUGUUGUUCAGUGUCGCUUGGAGCCCAGGAGCCAGGGAGAGCCUGCUUCACCGCUUGACUUCUCAACAACUCCAGAAGAGGCCUGUGUGACAUGAACCUCUCUAAUGGGGCCUGUCCAAGUUGCUGGAGUUCUGGCUCUGUGCGUUGGAGGACCAUCUCGGUUGUUUCCCACUUGCUUCGUUACACUCUGCUGGUUGAUUUGCUGCGUCGUCGUGGGGAGCCGGCUUGUUGUGAUGCCCAUGGAGGAGAAUGUAUGCAUAUUUGCAUACUGAUGCUAAUGCAGCCUUUCAUGUGCAAACUUUGGGCCCGAGAAGAUUUAUGCUGAACUCUCAAACAUAUGCUGUUCAAGUGCUUUGAAAUAUUGAGUGAAGUGUGUUCAUCUUUCACUGGCUGGAGUAAAGAUACAUCAGAAAUUGGUUUCCAGGAAAAAUACCCUUGAAAGUCAGAGGAAGAGCCUAUCAUCUAUUUACUAAGACAUAGUCAUUCCCCUCCAGCAAUCAGCCCUGUACUGGGUAUCUGCAUUAUGCCUGGAUCUUUGUCUAAAUGAUAAUCCAGCACACAGUUAAUAUCAGAGAGGCUUAAUCAGCAGAAGAUCUGGCUCUGAUCUGCCAGCUCAAUGAAACCAAGAGCAGUCUGUUACAAGGUCUGAGGUACAGCUUGACUUUAAAUACCUGCUUAAGUGCUUUUGUACUUUCAGUUACUGGGAAAAAGUUGCUGGGAUUCUUGGGUGGAAAUCUGUAAUUCACGCCCUUGCAAGGGGUCAGCAGAAAUGGGCAUCGUGCUCCUCCUGGCCUUAAAGGCUGCAGCUUGAUCUUGGUCUCUGUCUGGCAGCGCAUUUCAAGCCCCAGCUGAUACUGCAUGGACUUGGACAGUCUUGCCUUUUUACGCACUUGCUGUUCCAUGACCCGCUGGCAGGAUCGCUUGCCCCCAUAAUUCAUACUGACAAGGUUCAUAAUGCACAGAGCCAGCCUGCAGCAUCCAGCCUGUAAAUUGCCCUAAGGCUGAAAAAAAAAAAAAAAUAUAUAUAUCUGUCAGCA